rnacentral:rRNA from 1 species
CGUGCUUAACACAUGCAAGUCGAACGAUGAAGCCCUUCGGGGUGGAUUAGUGGCGAACGGGUGAGUAACACGUGGGCAAUCUGCCCUUCACUCUGGGACAAGCCCUGGAAACGGGGUCUAAUACCGGAUAAUACUUUCCCUCUCAUGGGGGAAGGUUAAAAGCUCCGGCGGUGAAGGAUGAGCCCGCGGCCUAUCAGCUAGUUGGUGGGGUAAUGGCCUACCAAGGCGACGACGGGUAGCCGGCCUGAGAGGGCGACCGGCCACACUGGGACUGAGACACGGCCCAGACUCCUACGGGAGGCAGCAGUGGGGAAUAUUGCACAAUGGGCGAAAGCCUGAUGCAGCGACGCCGCGUGAGGGAUGACGGCCUUCGGGUUGUAAACCUCUUUCAGCAGGGAAGAAGCGAAAGUGACGGUACCUGCAGAAGAAGCGCCGGCUAACUACGUGCCAGCAGCCGCGGUAAUACGUAGGGCGCAAGCGUUGUCCGGAAUUAUUGGGCGUAAAGAGCUCGUAGGCGGCUUGUUGCGUCGGUUGUGAAAGCCCGGGGCUUAACCCCGGGUCUGCAGUCGAUACGGGCAGGCUAGAGUGUGGUAGGGGAGAUCGGAAUUCCUGGUGUAGCGGUGAAAUGCGCAGAUAUCAGGAGGAACACCGGUGGCGAAGGCGGAUCUCUGGGCCAUUACUGACGCUGAGGAGCGAAAGCGUGGGGAGCGAACAGGAUUAGAUACCCUGGUAGUCCACGCCGUAAACGUUGGGAACUAGGUGU